ensembl:lncRNA
AGGGGGGUGUGGAGAGGAGACAUAAGAGAAUGAUAGAUAGAGGGGGGGGUGUGGAGAGGAGACAUAAGAGAAUGAUAGAUAGAGAGGGGGUGUGGAGAGGAGACAUAAGAGAAUGAUAGAUAGAGGGGGUGUGGAGAGGAGACAUAAGAUAAUGAUAGAUAGAGGGUGUGGAGAGGAGACAGAAGAGAAUGAUAGAGAGGGGGUGUGGAGAGGAGACAUAAGAGAAUGAUAGAUAGAGAGGGGGUGUGGAGAGGAGACAUAAGAGAAUGAUAGAUAGAGAGGGGGUGUGGAGAGGAGACAUAAGAGAAUGAUAGAUAGAGAGGGGUGUGGAGAGGAGACAUAAGAGAAUGAUAGAUAGAGAGGGGGUGUGGAGAGGAGACAUAAGAGAAUGAUAGAUAGAGAGGGGGUGUGGAGAGGAGACAGAAGAGAAUGAUAGAUAGAGAGGGGGUGUGGAGAGGAGACAGAAGAGAAUGAUAGAUAGAGAGGGGGUGUGGAGAGGAGACAUAAGAGAAUGAUAGAUAGAGAGGGGGUGUGGAGAGGAGACAUAAGAGAAUGAUAGAUAGA